rnacentral:rRNA from 1 species
CAGCAGCCGCGGUAAUACGGAGGGUGCGAGCGUUGUCCGGAAUCAUUGGGCGUAAAGCGCACGUAGGCGGUCGAGUAAGUCUCAUGGUGAAAUGCCGGGGCUCAACCCCGUGCCUGCCAGGGAUACUGCACGACUGGAGACAGGUAGAGGCCAGCGGAAUUCCGGGUGUAGCGGUGGAAUGCGUAGAGAUCCGGAAGAACACCGGAGGCGAAGGCGGCUGGCUGGACCUGAUCUGACGCUGAGGUGCGAAAGCGUGGGGAGCGAACAGG